rnacentral:rRNA from 1 species
AAGCUCGUAGUUGAAUCGGGGUUAGUAGGUUGGUCAUGCCUCUGGUAUGUACUGGUCUCACUGAUUCCUCCUUCCUUAUGAACCGUAAUGCCAUUAAUUUGGUGUUGCGGGGAAUUUGGACUGUUACUUUGAAAAAAUUAGAGUGUUUAAAGCAAGCUAACGCUUGAAUACAUUAGCAUGGAAUAAUGAAAUAGGACGUUCGAUCUUAUUUUGUUGGUUUCUAGGAUUGACGUAAUGAUUAAUAGGGAUAGUUGGG